GAUGAACGCUGGCGGCGUGCCUAAUACAUGCAAGUCGAGCGAACAGACGAGGAGCUUGCUCCUCUGACGUUAGCGGCGGACGGGUGAGUAACACGUGGAUAACCUACCUAUAAGACUGGGAUAACUUCGGGAAACCGGAGCUAAUACCGGAUAAUAUAUUGAACCGCAUGGUUCAAUAGUGAAAGACGGUUUUGCUGUCACUUAUAGAUGGAUCCGCGCCGCAUUAGCUAGUUGGUAAGGUAACAGCUUACCAAGGCAACGAUGCGUAGCCGACCUGAGAGGUGGACGGGCACACCGGAACCGGAGCACGGUCCAGGAUCCUAAGGGAGGGAGCAGUAGGGAAACUUCCGGAAUGGGGGGAAACCUGACGGAGCCACGGCGGGGGGGGUGAGAAAGGUCUCCGAUUGGAAAAACUUGUUAAUAGGGGAAAACAAAAUUGCAAGGAACUAUUCCCGUCUUGACGGGUCCCAAUCAAAAAGCCACGGCUAACUACGUG
rnacentral:rRNA from 1 species